AUAGCCGUAAAAUAGAAAGAGAAAGGAUUAGCAAAUGGAGAGACACACUCCUAGAAACAUCCAAUUAUCUUUAAGUGGAUUUAUUACAGGACUAAGAGAUUGAUGAUGGUCUUCGUCAUGUAAUUUGAUCUUCAACAUAUGUAAGUUCAUGUUAGGUUCCAACAUCAACAUCGAUUGGUAUAAUUUUGUUUAUCUUGUCUUUUUUGACUUCCGUAUACAGGUAGCUUACGCACAAAUUUGAGGAUAAGUCUUGGUGAUGUUUUUGUCAAAAUAAUUCGGAUGCUAUGCUUUUAUAUGCUUGUUAGAUAUUACCAUUAAAGUGAUUCCCCUUAUCCAAGGGUACCACUUGCUUGUGGAAAAUUCUAUGUUUUUAUCCAUGGUAUAAUAGAGCAUAACAUGUAUAAAUAUAGCCGACAUAUUCAUUUUUCGGCUCCGUAGAAGAAGACUUUUAUUGAUCCAUGUUCAGUACUACCACCGCUCCCUUGAAAGUUCAAGCUUGGAAAUGGAAUUGCAAUUACUGCAUUAACGCUAAUUAAUUUUUUUUAGUAUUUUUCAUGUCCAUCUUAUGAAAUAUGAUUAAAGUUACGAUGAUUUGUAACGGUUCAUUUGGAAAGUGAAAAGUCGAAGGUGGAUUAAGAUAGACCUUAGAGGAGAAGGUAUAUUGACCCUUUUUAUUGUUGCUUAAUAGCCUUUAAGGGGGUUUUUUUCUCUUGAUUGUUUAGAGGUAAUACCGCGUAUUCCCUACAUAUUAGUUCCAGACUUUUUAUAAGUUAAUAAAUUUAUUAAUGUUAAUUUUGUCAUAUUACGUAUGAGUUGUCCUCUUUAGAGAAUGACUAUUUAAGUUAUGUAGUGAUUCGGACUCACGAGAGGUAGGUAUGACAAUUAUCGAUUUUUAUUUUUGUUUGCAAUACAGAGAGAAUGGGAGCUUGGUUGCUGCAGCAUAUAUACAUAGGAUGUCAGCUGAUCAACCUUGUAUAUAUAUUUUUUUCAUCUAAUUGUUGGAAUCAUAGACGGUUAUCUAGUUCAUUUGAUAAUGCAUAAUAUUAUACUGUCAAUUUCAUCUCAUUAUAUAUAAUCUUUGUCUAUAUUUUCCCCA